ACCGAAGCUUCCUGCGCCCGAACAAAUCUAUCUUCCCGGCCAGGCCAACCAACUUUGUCGCGCAGGUAGUUGAAGCUGUGUCUUUUUCCUCUUUUGCCUUUUCAGUGAGGGAGUUCAAGCUUUGGUUUGGAAGCAUGCAGAUAGAUAGACAGCUGCAUGGCUGCAUGCAUGAGCAGGGGAGCGGCGAAGGUAACUCCACACGCGGAACCGCCGUGUUUUGGAUUUGCGUCUGCAGAUCGAGGGCGGUGGUGUGCACGACUGCACGAACAGCUAUACUAAUCUUGUCUGAACCCUGAACUCUGAACCGCCGCGCGUGUCCGGCCCAGCCGCUGCGUCAUCGGCUCGCGCUUUUGAGUUGGUUCGCUAUCUGAUCUUGGUCUGGAACUCUGGAUAUGCGUGCCUACGGGUCAUCACUUGUCUUUGGUGGUCGAUUGGACGGUAACUGAAGAGAUAGAGUGAGGUUUUCCUCUUCAGUUACGAUUAGCAUGGACUGAUCAGAUCGCCACGUCGAUUCGUACGAGCCAGCCGUCCGUGGCUCGUCUUUUGCUACCGGUGCGUGCCUUGCCGUGUACACUCGUGGCCGGCUUCGGCUUUCGGCGGAACAGUUUGUGCAUGCAUGCUUGCAGCGCCGCAUGCCUGUACGGACGUGCACGCCAUGGCUGAAAUUUUUGGUUUGGGUUGGUGAAUGGUGGCCACGGGACAAAACUCGUUGGAAUCAGACGCACGGAUGGCUAAUAUCGGUGCUGGGUGGUGGUGCGGUGCGGCAUAAGUUUCCCACGGUAAGAACUGCACGACACUGUAUUAGCCAUCCGUGUGCCUCGUUCCAACAAAUUUUGUCCCAUGGUCACCACCUACCACUCCAAAUCAAAAAAAUUAGCCAUCGCGUGCACGUCCGCACAGGGAAUGCGGCGCGGCCGGCGCAAACUGGCCCGCCGAAAGCUGAAGCCGGUCACAAGUGUACACGGCAACGCCGGUAGCAAAAGGCCAGCCACGCACGCCUGCCCCGCACACAUCGACGUGGUGAUCUGAUCAUUGCAAUGCUGAUCGUAACUGGAGAUGAAAACGUCACUCUAGCUCAUCACUUACGGUCACUGAUUGAAUUACCCGUCAUGUCACAGUGGCAUCGUACGCGUCAAUCGAUCAGACUGUGAUGUGAGCUCACUAAUCGUGGAAUCACGGUGAGAAUUCACCUCCUGCAUCGAUCAGAUCCGGUACCCACUACGUAGUACUACGGGUAGGAGUACUACCAUGCGUCUCGUCCAUCAUUUUGUCCCAAGCUCCCCACCAGCCAAAUUCUGGUAUACUUUUACUGUUGUUGUAAUAAAUCUCUCUCCUAUGGUUCUACCCUUGUGAUGUGUAUGUAAAUAGGGCAGCGAGUGAACAUAAGACAUCUUCGAGAUUAUACUCACAAGUCACAAUUGUUCUUGGUAUCACAACCAUCUUCUCCUCUUCACCAUGAGCAACAUCUCUCCUUCAUUCAGCGCCCCCACCCUUCUGGCCACGUCCUCCUCCCUUCAUCAUUUCUUUCCUCUCGCUGGCACCCAGAAGGCCAAGCCUGUCCUCCCCUCUACCCGUCCCGAGCCUCCUAUGCACCGCAUCGAUAUUACCCACUUCAUCAAUUUCAAGCUAGAUCUCGCCACAAACAACUACACUCAGUGGACGUGGAAGUUCUACGCUAUCCUCACCAAAUACGACUACGCCCACCAUGUCGACCACAAGUCUGAUCCCCGUCUUCAAGAUGCCAAGUGGCGCAACGACGAUCUGACCAUUAUGUUGUGGUUCUAUGCUACCAUUUGCGAUGAGCUCUAUCAAGUGGCGAGGGAGCCGGAGAACACCGCGUAUACCGUUUGGGAUCAGUUGUACACCUUCUUCCGGGACAACCAGCCCGGAUGGGCCAUCCACAUCCGCGAAGAGUUAAGCGCCACCGAGCAAGGAGACAUGAUGGUGGCCGCCUACUACAAUCGGAUUAAGGCCCUCGCCGACGCCCUCGCCGACGCAGGUGAACCAGUCAACGAUGAGAUCUUGACAUUGCAAAUGAUCCGAGGACUCAACAACCGCUUCCAUGUGCUGGCAACUACUCUUCCCAUGCACAUGCCUUUUCCUUCCUUUAUCCAGGCUCGUUCCCUAUUGUUGCUCGAAGAAAUCAAUCUUAAUGCGCGUGACAGGGCCAAGGGAUCCUCCACCAUCACUAUUGGCACCAACACCGGCUCCAACUCCACCCCCGGUGGAAGCAACAAUGGGAAUCGAGGCGAUCACAACGCUUUUUCUAACACCUGGCCUGGACAGUCAGCACAACCACAACAACGACCCUAUAUGGGCUACUUUGCGCCAUGGGGGCGCCCUUCCCAUUGCCGAGGCAGCCGCCGCAUACUCAGUGGGCCCCUCGAAGCGUCGGCGGCGUCCUCAACCCACGCCCAUCUGUUCCAACACAGGGAUACUCGUUGCUCUACUCCAUGGCAUCCAUCUUUAUGUUAGCAAAUAAACUAGCGUGACAGGUUCAAGUUCAGGUUAGACGUAGUGUUAGGAUUCAGUUUCGUCAGUCUGCAGUUUUUUCGGUGUUCUGUUUCAGUCAAGCCUAAGGACGCGGUAUGUGUGAUCCCGAGGCCGUAGCUCGCGGCGAGCGCAUGCCCAUGAUCGUGGGAUGGCACGAUCCAGUAGAUGGGGCACGCCUCGAUCCGCCUUUCCCAUUUUCCAGUGAAUAAAAAGAGGAGGGGAAAAGCAACAAAGUUUGUACUACACAAAACUCAGUCCACUUCGUGUCCCUUUCUCCCUUGCCAUUGACAGGAGCUUUGAGCUCAGAGAUAAUAAUUGGCAUCAGAGCGCCUUGUUUGCGAUCUAGGGAUGACGAAGAAGGACGACACCGACGAUGGCAAAGCACCACCGACGCCGCGUGCUCGAAUCGCUGAUGGCUCAGAUCAGGGUUCGUCUGCGCGGCUGGUGCACGACACCGGCGACACGACGUGGCCGAUGCUGACGAGGACCAACUACACCGACUGGGGCGUGCUGGGAUGGUGUGCGGGAUGCAUGUGGUGGAUCACGUGGAGCAGCUCUGCGACGUCUGCCUGGCAAGGAAGUAGCGGCGCACUCCCUUCCCAUCGCAGGCGCGCUAUCGCGUGGAGAGGCCACUUGAGCUCAUGCACGCUGACAUCUGCGGGCCAAUCACUCCGGCCACACUCGGUGGUAAGAGGUAGUUCAUGUUGAUUGUCAAUGAUCACAACCGCUACAUCUAGGCAGUGAUGCUGCCAGCAAAGGAUGCCGCUACGGACGGCAUCAAGCGCUUUGUUGCCGCGGCGGAAGAAGAGCUGGGGGUGCGGCUCCGCACGUUCCGCACGGAUCGAGGCGGGGAGUUCACCUCCGGCGUGCUUGGUGAUUACUUCACGGACCAGGGCAUGCAGAGACACCUGACGGCGCCAUAUUCACCCUAGCAGAACAGCGUCGUGGAGCGGCGCAACCAGACGGUCGUUGGCAUGGCACGGACUAUGCUCAAGGCCAAGAAGAUGCCCAGCUGGUUCCGGGGGAAGGCCGUGGCGACUGUGGUGUUCAUCCUGAACCGCUCGUACACACGCAACAUUGACGGCAAGACCCCCUACGAGGCAUGGUACAACAAUAAACCGGCGGUGCACUACCUACGCGUGUUCGGCGGCAUUGCCUAUGUCAAGAACACCCGGCUAGGGCUCAAGAAGCUGGACGAUCGCAACACCAAGAUGAUCUUCAUCGGCUACGAGGAAGGGUCGAAGGCGUACAGGGUCUAUUAUCCGCUGACUUAACGCAUGUAUGACACAAACGGCAUGGUGUUCGACGAGGGCGUGAGCUAGGACUGGGGCGCGUCGAGCGAGGCCCAGGACGAGCAACUUGUCUUCCCUGUUCAGCUCCCACUCGCCACCGGUGCAAACUCAGCACCAGCUGAGACAACAUCCCCGGAAGCAGGGCGGACGCCCGAAGGAUCACCAGCGCGUGCGUCGCCCGCCACUCCUGAUAGCACCGGAGCACCUGCAUCGCCAGACUCCGCGUGGCCAGAUGCGACGGCCACACCCAGUAGCAGUGCGCCUCAGGGUGUAGACCCAGGGGACGUGGAGUUUGUCACACCGCCAGCAACCAUGCCUGACCUCUUCGAUGCUGAUGAUGAUCUGCCAGUACUCGACCUCGCUUCCGCCGUAUGGCAGAUAUCCUUGGCGGCCCAGCUAAGCAGCCGGCGGAGCGCUUGUUGCUGGCAGGGGAGGAGCCGGCCAGUUUCCUCGAGGUUGAGCCCCAUGAGUGCUGGCGAAGGGCAAUGCUCGAAGAACUGGCGAGCAUUGAGGAGAACGGAACCUGGGUGCUCACUGAUCUUCCUCCAGGUCAUCAGGCAAUCGGGCUCAAAUGGGUGUUGAAGUUGAAGAAAGAUGCUACCGGUGCUGUUGUUAAGCACAAGGCGAGGCUGGUAGCAAGAGGUUUUGUGCAGAAGGACGGCAUGGACUUCGAUGAUGUGUUCGCGCCCGUGGCAAAACUGGACUCUGUCCGUGUCAUGGUCGGCACGGCGGCGCAGCAUGGCUGGGAACUGCAUCACCUCGACAUCAAGUCAGCAUUUCUGAAUGAUGAGCUCAAGGAGGAGGUGUACGUUGCCCAACCACCCGAUUUUUCUCAGGAGGGAGAAGAGCACAAGGUCUACCGUCUGCAUAAAGGCGCUCUACGACUUGCGGCAGGCGCCGCGGGCGUGGAACGCAAAGCUCGACGCCACUCUGAAGGAGCUGGGGUUCUCCUGUUGCCCAGCUAAUCAGGCUCUGUACGCGCGUGGAAGAGGGCAAGCGCGGCUCCUAGUCGGCGUGUAUGUGGAUGAUCUCGUCGUCAACGGCGCCGACGGCGAGUGCGUCAGAAAGUUCAAGGCGGAGAUGAUGGCCAAGUUCUGCAUGAGCGAUCUCGGACUGCUCAGUUUCUACCUCGGCAUCAAGAUGAAGCAAGGGGGAGCGAUAAUUCUAUCCCAGGCUGCAUGCACCGGCAAGCUGCUGGAGCGAGUGGGCAUGACGGACUGCAACCCAGUGCACGUUCCCAUGGAGCUGCGGCUUCGUCUGAGCAUGAAGGGACCAGAACCACUGGUGGAUGCCAAGGACUGCCAGAGCAUCAUCGGAGGGCUGCGGUAUCUCACUCAUACAUGGCCGGACAUCGUGUUCAUGGUGGGGUAUGUCAGUCGGUUCAUGGAGGCACCGAACACGGCGCACCUCACCGCUGUCAAACACAUGCUGCGUUAUAUCGCAGGCACGCGCAGGCUUGGUUGCAGGUACACCAAGGGCAGCGAGAGCAUGCUCAUUGGGUACCGUGAAUCCAACAUGGCUGGCAAUGUCGAUGAUCGCAAGAGCACCUCGGGGAACCUCUUCUUCCUUGGGGGUGCACCGCUCACCUGGCAGUCGCAGAAACAGAAGAUUGUUGCUCUAUCUUCGUGUGAGGCUGAGUACGUGGCGGCAACAAUAGUAGCUUGUCAGGCCAUUUGGCUGGGCAGGCUCAUGGGCGAUCUGCUGAUGGAGGAGCACGGCGCUGUCACCAUCUUCACCGACAACAAGUCAGCCAUAUAGUUUUGCAAGAAUCCGGUCUUCCAUGAUCAGAGCAAGCGCAUCAACGUUCGCUUCCGUUUCAUCCGGAGAUGCAUCAAGGAAGGGAAGAUCAAGGACCAAGGUCCAGUACAUCGCCACAGGUGACUAGCUCACUGACAUGUUCACCAAAUCACUCGGGCGCAUGCGGUUCCAGGAGCUGCGCGCACGCAUUGGCAUGGUUGAAGUUUGGUCUCUAUGUCACGACUAGCUUAGGGGGAGAUUGUUAGAAAAUAAACUAGCGUGACGGGUUCAAGUUUAGAUUAGACGUAGUGUUAGGAUCCAGUUUUGUGAGUCUGCAGUUUCUUCGAUGUUCAGUUUCAGUCAAGCCUGAGGACGCGGUAUGUGCGAUCCCGAGGCCAUAGCUCACGGCGAGCGCACGCCCAUGAUCAUGGGAUGGCAUGAUCUAGUAGAUGGGGCACGCCUCGAUCCGUAUUUCCCGUUUGAAUAAGAAGAGGAGGAGAAAAGCAGUAGAGUUUGCGCUGCACAAAAUUCAGUCCCCUUCAUGUCCCUCUCUCCCUCGCCAUUGACAGGAGCUUUGAGCUCAGAGAUAACACUUUAUGACGUCGCCUCCCUUGCGGGACCAGUUCUCCGUGAUCGACAAGGCGCCCGAAAACACAAGAUCCACCCCUCCUCCGACAAUUAGUACAUGGACUAUGCCGCAUAAUCACAUGUGACGGGUUGCAGAAGUAAUCUCAACUAGUAUCUUUUCUCUUCAAUGCACGCUUGUCGUAGUUUAGUUGUUAGUAAUGGUUCCUAGAUCACCAUUACUCCUACUAGUUAUACUCAUCUCGGUCACACUCCCCCUUUCUCUCAACAAUGUUUGAUGUAUUACUCUUGAUUGUUAAUGACUUCAUACCCAUAUGCAAUUUUACUCGGGGCAAUUCUUGUUCUACUAAAUUUGAUCCAUAUGUUUGUUUUGUGAAGGAUCUAGACACCAAGGGAAUCAUCGGGAGAUCUAGUUGUUAGAAAGAUCUAUAUUCUCUUUUCUCCAUAAAUAAAGGUGGCCCCUCGAUCUGCUCCAUCAACAUGUGGCAUCGGUAACUUGGACACCUAGGGCAAGCUUCAUUAGUGGCCAUGGCAAAAAAAAGGUCUUCCUUCUUGUGAUAAACCAAUGCGGCCAUAACAUGUUUGUGGGUCUUGUCAAUUAGGGUGGCAACCUCGAUUGCCUUUUCUUAUUUGUCUUUACUAUAUCACCUUUCCAAAAUACAUUGUGAUUUGUGGACCUUGCCAAUUUAUAGUUUCUCCAGUUUCCAGUACUACCCUAUCACAUUUUAUAUGAUUGUUCUCAUUAUUUCUGAACAUUUUCCCUUAGAAACAAAU
rnacentral:lncRNA from 1 species